rnacentral:rRNA from 1 species
ACUCCUACGGGAGGCAGCAGUGGGGAAUCUUGGACAAUGGGCGCAAGCCUGAUCCAGCCAUGCCGCGUGAGUGAUGAAGGCCCUAGGGUCGUAAAGCUCUUUCGCCAGGGAUGAUAAUGACAGUACCUGGUAAAGAAACCCCGGCUAACUCCGUGCCAGCAGCCGCGGUAAUACGGAGGGGUUAGCGUUGUUCGGAAUUACUGGGCGUAAAGCGCGCGUAGGCGGAUUAGUCAGUUAGAGGUGAAAUCCCAGGGCUCAACCCUGGAACUGCCUUUAAUACUGCUAGUCUUGAGUUCGAGAGAGGUGAGUGGAAUUCCGAGUGUAGAGGUGAAAUUCGUAGAUAUUCGGAGGAACACCAGUGGCGAAGGCGGCUCACUGGCUCGAUACUGACGCUGAGGUGCGAAAGUGUGGGAGCAAACAGGAUUAGAUACCCGUGGUAGCGACUGA